rnacentral:lncRNA from 1 species
GGAGAAGCUAACGUCUGAGUUGGAUCUUGGUGGGAAGAGGAGGCUGUUGCCGGAGAAGGUGGGACGAGGCCCUCCCAGCAGUGUGGAUGCAAAGCCUCGGGCCUCGGGGAACACUAGGAGAAGGGCCCGGCGGGAUGCUGGGGUGACCAGCGGAAGAGGGUGCCCCGGCCCCUCUCUAAGGCUUCGCCAGCCUGGAUGGGACAUCAAGGCUUGGAAAAGAGACUUAAAGACUGGACCCCUGACCUUUGGGGCGUUGCUUGGGUCUCCCCGAUGUGAAGCAGGACCCCUGAACCUUUGUCUGUCUCAAGAGUCCUCCUCAGCACUCAGAAUCAGCUCGGCACCACCUCCUCCGAGAAGCCUUCCUGGAUCAACCCCUUCCCCAGCAGCAUUCAACGGCCUCCUCUGGGCAGCCCCUGGCCUCGCACAUGCUCAGGACACUGUGUUUCAGAGGCUGCCACGUGCUGGGCUUCCCAGUGGACUUUCUCACGCUCCUUCCUUCCCCAUAGGGAGGAGCCUGAGGCCCCCCACUGCCCCCUGAAAGGAACUCAGAGGGAGAGCCAAAGGGUGACGCAGAGAGUGUCUUUGCCCAGCCGGGAUUCGGUCAAGGAGAUGUGCUAGGGGUUACAUGUCCUGGGGGUGCGUGUGGUGCCAGGUCCACGGUGGGGGCUCGGCCAAGAGCAUGAGUAGGUAGGGGGGUCGAGGUGGGCUGGCCUGGCCCAGCAGGUCUCUGUUUGGAGAAACAAAUGCUGAGGAGGUGGGGGGUCGGGGGGACGCAUGCCAGGCAGGGCCAGGACCGCGUGGAUGGUCUGCGCGGAGUGCCCUGGGUGAGGGGUCCUUUUGCCAGGCCCCUUAGGGAUGGCUGUUCCCCUUGGCGUUCAUCGUGGCCGGGCCCUGAAUUUGCUGGGGUGUCUCCACAGCUCCUCUAACCACACAGCCACCUGUGGGCUCGGUGUGGGUACCAUUCCCAUUUGAUGGAGGAGAAAACGGAGGCGAGCAGAGGCCUCAUGACCUGCCAAGGUCAAGGCCAGGACCAGAGCCCUGCAGCGUCCGACCGCAGAGCCCACGCCCAGGGCCGCCAUGCCCCCUGGUGCCUUGCUUUACCUCUGCCCAUCUCGGGGAACAGAGGUCCCAAGAGGGCAGCAGCUUCACUGGGGCUUGGAUAUUUAAAUGUCCUAGAACUGAAUAGUUUGUGGAUAGGUAUUAACAGUUUGUAUUAAUAAAGCAAUUCGCAUUACUCACAG